rnacentral:tRNA from 1 species
GUUUUAAUAAUUUAAUAAAAAUACUGGUCUUGUAAAUCAGAAAUAAGAACUAUCUUUUAAAACU